GUUUGGAGUUCUGUUCGACCUCGUCUGUCGUCGACGUUUCUACAAAGAAGCAAAAACUUCUCUCUGUCAAUUUGUUCACUGAGUUGUAGUAAUUCAAUAAAUCGCAUCACAGAUCAUAACUUUUUUUGGUUGCGAUGACUAAUUUCUUCAGUAUCUGUUGCGAGUGAACUCAUCUAAAAGCUAAUCAGUUUUUUUUUUCAGUCUUCAUUUUAUUUCUGAAAAGAAAAAGAAAUCAGGCAGAAAACUUUUUGCUCCCUCCUGUAAAAAUGAUAAUAAAUUAAUAUGCCUAUCGAGGGCUGGAUGGUUAUGGUAAUAAAUGUUCGGUAUGUUAACAUUUUUUAUAUGAAUAAUACACACACUCCAAAACAGAGAUUUUACUUCAGAAAUAAAUAAGAAAAUAACAUUAAACCAAAUAAAUAAAACAAAGACUCGCUGGUUAAAUGAAAGACACAAGUUUUGACUUUUACAACAUCCUUCACUCAAAAUGAAACAUUCUCUCUGUCCACUUCCUCUUCCCUCAGGUGCUCGAACACUCCCACCGGCCUCUCCACCUGCGUAAGGGCGACUUCUACUCCUACCUGUCGCUGUCCUCCCAUGAUAGCGACUGCGGCGAGGUCAGCCAGUGCUCCGAGGACAAGAGCUCCCCUCCGGCGCCGUACAGCAUCCCGUCGUACGUCACGCCGACACGGGGCCUCCGCAGCCCGAGCCCCGAGCUGUUCACGAGCACCAGGCAGCGACUGGCCUCCUCCGGGUCCUCCGAGCGCUCCUCGGCGAGCGCUGGCCCCAAGGACAACCUCCCCGCUCUGGACUUGAAGUCAGCUGAUGGCGGCCGCGAGGAAGAGGCGACCAGCCCGUCGCUGUCCCUGCCCCCCAGCCCUGACAUCAGGGACGAGGAGACCCUGUUUGCAGCUUGCACAGAGGAGGUCUACCUGGGCCCGCCUCUUUGCUACAGCAUGGUGCUCACCAGGAAACCGCGGACGCACCGACUGAGGGAGAACCGGUCGUCACCGAGCACCGGUCCAGAGGGUUUGCCUCGCUCCACACCAGGUGAUAUUCUGAGCCACUUGGACAGAAACCAGGAUCAGCUGUAUUUCCAGGGGCCCAGUCGUCCUCAGGGACGUUCCGCCUCCUCGCCCUCGACGACCACCUCCGCCUCCCGACCAGAGGACGAAAGCGCUCGCUCCUCUCCCCCUCCUCCUCCUGUGAAAGAGAGGCGAGCUGAGAACUCGCACCUCCUCUGUGAUGAUGUCGCUGGAAGAGAAUCGGCGGGCGCUGCGAGUGUCAGCGUGCCGCGGGCAGAGAGGAGUCGUAAUGAGGGGCCUCCUUAUCUUAAUCCCUGGGCACGUGUCGCCCCGAUAGACUCCUCUGCAGCCGAAUGUUUGGCAGGUACUGAGGCGCUUGAAUCCAAUAUGGGCGCCGUAAUGACCAAGAUAAGUGUCUGCGGCUCCGCUACAAAUCCCUCAAAAGAGCCGGGCGCCACGCGCAUUAAUCCCAAAAUUAACUGCGUGCCGAUGAGAGAGGCAGAUAGGGAGGAGGGGCCGCGGCGGGCGGAGGCGGACGCUCGGCGGGCAAAGCGGGAGGAGACUGGGAGGAGAGGGCGGAGCGGCUCGCACCAGGACGCCAAGGCAGCGGCGACAAAGCAGGUGAGCUCCCAGCCGGCUGUCAAUCAGGCCACCAGAGCCGCUCAGGGGCGGAGCCAGGCCUCGAUGAGGAACCCCGUACGAGUGAGUUUACUUCCUCUCACAAUCACGUCAUUAAGUUUUCCCUCACAUUCCCGCAAAACUUUAAGGAAAAAAACAACAACAUGUUAG
rnacentral:lncRNA from 1 species